GAUGAAGAACGCAGCGAAUUGCGAUAAGUAAUGUGAAUUGCAGAUUUUCAGUGAAUCAUCGAAUCUUUGAACGCACCUUGCGCUCCUUGGUAUUCCGAGGAGCAUGCCUGUUUGAGUGUCAUUAAAUUCUCAACCUCAUCAGUUUUGUUAUGAAGCUGUGUGAGGCUUGGAUGUGGGGGUUUGUGCAGGCUGCCUCAGUGCGGUCUGCUCCCCUGAAAUGUAUUAGCGAGUUCCAACUGGGCUCCGUCUAUUGGUGUGAUAAUUAUCUACGCCGUGGAUUGGGCUUAGACUUGCUUCUAACCGUCCGCAAGGACAAUCUUUUGACAAUUUGACCUCAAAUCAGGUAGGACUACCCGCUGAACUUAAGCAUAUCAAUAAGCGGAGGA
rnacentral:misc_RNA from 1 species